rnacentral:rRNA from 1 species
UGCAAGUCGAACGGGAAGCGGUGCUGAUUGCUUCGGUGAUUUAGCGCCGUGGAGAGUGGCGAACGGGUGCGUAACACGUAGGUAACCUGCCCUGAAAGGGGGGAUAACCACGGGAAACUGUGGCUAAUACCGCAUAAUUUCGCCGUGACGGUGGUUGCGGUGAAGAAAGCUUAGGCGAUUUGGGAGGGGCCUGCGGUCGAUUAGCUGGUUGGUGGGGUAAAGGCCCACCAAGGCGAUGAUCGAUAGCUGUUCUGAGAGGAAGACCAGCCACACGGGAACUGAGACGCGGUUCCGACUCCUACGGGGGGCAGCAGUGAGGAAUAUUGCGCAAUGGGGGAAACCCUGACGCAGCAACGCCGCGUGGAGGACGAAGGUUUUCGGAUUGUAAACUCCUUAUCUGGGGGAAGAGAGAGGACGGUACCCCAGGACGAAGACACGGCUAACUAGGUGCCAGCAGCCGCGGUAAUACCUAGGUGUCGAGCGUUAUCCGGAAUUACUGGGCGUAAAGGGUGCGCAGGCGGCGAUACAAGUCUGGCGUGAAAGCUUCUGGCUUAACUGGGAGAGGACGUUAGAAACUGUAUAGCUAGAGUGAAUGAGAGGGGGGCGGAAAUCCCGGUGUAGUGGUGGAAUGCGUAGAUAUCGGGAAGAACACCAGAGGCGAAGGCGGCCUCCUGGCAUUUUACUGACGCUGAGGC